rnacentral:rRNA from 1 species
AGCGUAGGCGGCCUUUCAAGUUAGAUGUGAAAUCUCCUGGCUUAACCAGGAGGAGUCAUCUAAUACUGCUAGGCUUGAGGACAGCAGGAGAAGGUGGAAUUCCCGGUGUAGUGGUGAAAUGCGUAGAUAUCGGGAGGAACACCAGUGGCGAAGGCGGCCUUCUAGGCUGUUUCUGACGCUGAGGCUCUAAAGUGUGGGGAGCGAACAGGAUUAGAUACCCUGGUAGUCC